UUCGUCUCCCGAAGUCUCCACCUCCACCUCGUUCUAUUCUGUCGCUAUCUCUCUCAUCCCUAUCUGCACAGGGCCGAGCGGUUGUUGCUUCCUGCGAGAUUUGCCGCCGUGAUACACUACGCGACGUGGGCGGCUUCCCCCGAGCUUGCAGGCACCAGCACCCCACUCCAGCUCCUACCCUCGCCGCCGACGGAGGCCACCACCAGGUGAAGCCUGCGUCGUGGCUUCUCCUCGUCUCCCGGCCGUGCCCCCGGGCUGUCCUGUCAUCCCAGUGCUCGGGAGGUCCGGCGACGCGUUUCUCGGUGGCCUCCUGCCGGCCGACGGAUCCAGGGCGGCUGCUCCUCUCGUCGCGCCUCCCCGUUACUGCGGCGCGAUGUCCCGCCCCUCCUUACUUUUCUUCCCUCCUCUGACCUCCAUGGGGACCAGCGCCGCCCAAGUUUCCCCGCCCCCGGGUUCCGGUGAGGGCUGCGGCGAUCCACGGCUGCUGGGCUUCUUUUCCUACGGGGCUGGGGAAUUGGGAGAUGCUCCUGCUGCUGCCAGUCAUGGGGGAUACAUGUUCAGACGGGAGAUGAUGAACCGGGUAAUGCACGCCGCGGCGAGGGGCGACGACCUGAAGAUCCUCAAGGAGCUCCUGCAGGGUUGCUCCAUUGCUGGUGCGUACCAGGACGCCCAGGGCGCCACCAUCUUUCAUGUUGCUGCUUCAAGGGGGCCAAGUUGAGGAUUGCUGCUAUAAGUUGGUCUUAUGAACAUUCAACAUGCCAUCCAGGUUGUAAUUCUGCUUGUACCCUCCCCUUCUUCCUACAUCUCAAUUCCCUCUCCCAUGCUUCUUUUCUCUAAGAGCUCUCUCUUUCUUCAAUUUUUUCUGCAGAGAGAUGGCCAUGGUUGCCCGAUGCCCGAGCGUCGCCGGCCAAGGACCCGUCGGCGUCUAGACCCCCUCCACGCCAUCCCCAUCUCGCCAAAGACCUGCACCAAGUCCCGUCCAGAGCCUGCGCCAUCCUCGGCCCCCGCCCCGCAGCUCUACAGCCCGAGCGCUUCAGCCGCCUCGCACCCGAUGUAGAGGAGAGGAGCUCCCUGCCACGAGCCUCCCUAGCGCUAGCAAACCAGCAGGCCGACCCCGCCUCCUUCUCGCUUCCCUCCUCCUUCCUUUUGCCUCCCGCGGCAUGGCCGCCGUCCCGUGCCCGGCGGUGGAGAAGACAAAUACUGUGAGUGUAAUUGUGAGUGUAAUUGUAACUAAUAUAGGGGUGUUUUUGUAAAAACGAAGGGUUCUCUCAGAUUCUCACUUAAAGUAGGACUGCGGGUUGAUUCUGAAAAACGAAGGGGCUUUUCUGUAAAAAUGCCCGACGUACGAACAGAAGCAGUAGGUGCUUUAUUAGUAGGUAAAGAUAAAGAGGUAAAGAUAAAGAUAAAGAGGUAAAGAUUUACGGACCGGUCUAGCGAGCGGCCGGCUGCUCACUAUACUUUGCGAGCGGCCGGUUCAAAAUUGCAAGUUUUGGUCCUCUAAUAAUUUAUAAAUAGCAAUUAUCUAUUGUGUGUC